GUAAAUAUGGUUGUAAUAAGUAUGCUUUUACUGUAGUUUGGGUUAUUUCUCCAGGGUGGAUUUCCAGAAGUGGGAUUUCUGGAUCCGAGAAGAAGUGAAGAAACCAGUAUUCAUGAAGACAAGGAAGUUCCUGUCAGCUACUGCAGAUGGACCACCCAAAGGUACAUCAAAUUUAUGGAAGAAGUAUUCAUCUUGGAUAAAGGAGAUACAAGAUCAUUUCAACCAAAGACAGAAUGAUGUUUCCAGAUAAUCAAUAAUACCUCCUCUUUGUUAAAGAGCCAGUUGGGCAAUAAAGGAAACGUCCUCUUCCAGUUUUACAGAUUGGCUGGUUUUGUCUUUCAUGUUCAUUGUCAGAGACUUAGGCUGUAGCAGAAGUAAAUUCAAGACACACCUAGCUAGUGCAUUAUUUGGAAGUUUUUGGUUGUAGGUGACAUAGAACUCAAGUGGAAGCAGCUUAAACUCUAGGUUUAUUUAUUAUCUCAUGUAACAAAUGUCCUGGAAGGAGGUGUUUCCAAGAUUGGUUGAUUCAGCAGCUCGGUGACUUCAAGUCUUUGUAUAACUACAUCCAGAGAGGUGAAAAAGAAACUGUACCUGUCCUGCAUUCUUAAAGCCUGAGGAAAACCUAUCUAGAAACUACCACUCAAAAAAAAAAAAAAAAAAAUAGAAACUACCACUCACAUCUCCUUGGCCAGAAUUGUUUCCAUGGCUCAACUGGGAAUGGGCCCUGGGAAAACUAUCACCAUGGUAAUGAGCUCUGACCCAUCAUAUUUCACCUCGGUUCUGGAGAAGAGCCCAGCCUCCUUUGGAGAUCAUGGACAGCCUAGGAAGGUGGACAAGGCCUGAGUUUUACUAGCUAGAAGAAAGGGAAGUGGGAAGGGUUGUUGGUUGGGCCACACAGGAGGGUUCAGAGAAGGUGGCCUGGAACAUUUCUUAUCUACACAUUAGCAACUUCAUUGAAGAAUGUUGCUAUUAAGUGUGUAACACUGACAUGAGGGAAAAAGUUAGAAGACUUUAGAAAAGGGUAAACCAUCUUAUUUUCAAAUUGGCUUUAGGAUAGAAUUUGCCUGGAAGGAAACCAUGGUUCCAGAGGAGUGGGCAAGUGCUGGAGCUGUCUUACCCUGGUACCUCUGCCGGUUUUGGUGAAGGUUACUCUUUUUUUCCCCCUCUGAGAUUUCAAGAAGAUUCUUGCUCUAAUUUCUACUACAUGUCUUGUAAGAAAACUGUAGCUGAUUGUGGAAGAGUCUUGUAUAGAGGGAGUUGGGUCCUAAGUUGGUUUAAAAAUAUAAGAUCAUGUAUAGCCAAAAUCUCCUUGGAAUGAUCCCUCAAGUUGACUAUAGAGAAUGGUGUCUAUGAUGUUGUACUUCUUAUUCUGUAGAGCAGUAUCUAGGUAUAAAUAUAUAA